GGGCCGCCGCCAUUUCCCUCAGGCACUUGGCGCCUUCCGGGCAGACACCGGCCAGACGGCCAUUAGCGCGCUCCUCGUUAGUAUAGUGAGACUGAGGAGCCCCCCUGUACCCGGCUGCCGUCCCCUCUAUCGCGGACUGGAGUCUCGGCCCGUCUCCUUUCCGACAGGAAAUCGGGCUGUGCCCUCCUGCGGGUGCCGCCCGUGACAGGUCAGCCCUGGACAACGCCUUUCCUUCAUUCCCUGGCUUCCUCGCGUCCGACUGGACAGCGCCCCGCCCAAGCAACAGCGCGGCUUGUCGCAUCGGGACACCGGCGGCGGCUGCUUUUACCCGGCUCUGUAGACAGUCACGGCAAGGUGUGAGCACCCACAAAGCGGCGGGACUCUGUCCCUCUUGAGCUGAUCGCCCAAGGACUGCGGAAAAAAACCGCAGCAGUAGCCCCCAAAAGGGACAUGGCCCGUACGGGGAUCGAACCCGCGACCUUGGCGUUAUUAGCACCACGCUCUAACCAACUGAGCUAACCGGCCCAUGUUGGCGUUGUGUAUCCAACCUUCUGUAUGUGGGACUACAGCCAGGGCACUGACCGCGACCGCCGCGGCGUUGGUCCCGUCCGAGCCGAUUCCUGACGGCAUUGCCUGCACCGAACGGAAGCGCAACUGCGUGGGCACCGUGCACGCGUGUUCCUAGCGUGCUUUUCCGCUCGCCUACCCGCGGCAGCGCAGGGACGGCCGUCCGCGCCCACCCGCAUUUGGCGGGAUCACGCACGAAAACAGCAGUGCAAGAGGAACAGGGAUAGAGAAAAAAAAAAAGCAGAUGUCAGGAGUGGGAUUCGAACCCACGCCUCCAGGGGAGACUGCGACCUGAACGCAGCGCCUUAGACCGCUCGGCCAUCCUGACCGCUGCGGAAGUAUUCUCAUCGGCUCAAUUCGGCUCCGCCGCACCCGGAGCUGUCCCGAGUACAAAUGGAAUAAGCUUGCUUUGUUCAUGGCACCUGAACGAACGGGACGGCGGCAGAGCCACGCCAGGCCAGCACGGAACCCCAGCUGCCCCCUACAGGCUCCAGGCACUGUAUGAACAGCCCGACUCAGCCCCCUGCACUCCACUCUGCAGCAGGAAGCGCAGUUGUGGCACACGCUCAGUGACCACAGGUAGGAUUGUAGUGUUGACCUGUGAAAACAAGACAAAGACUGAGAUUCACAGCAAGAAAAAAGGAAAGAGGGACUUGAGCUUAGCAAGCUGAUGAUGCAUUACGCUGCUUCUGGGCCAGAAUGAGAGCAAUCAUCGUUAGAGUCUUCCCCAAGCCCAUGUCAUCCGCUGCAAAAAGACGCAUGCAAGUUAUC